CACGUAGGGCGCAAGCGUUUGUCCGGAAUUAUUGGGCGUAAAGAGCUCGUAGGUGGUUUGUUACGUCUGCUGUGAAAACCUAGGGCUUAACCCUGGGCUUGCAGUGGAUACGGGCAGACUAGAGGUAGGUAGGGGAGAAUGGAAUUCCUGGUGUAGCGGUGAAAUGCGCAGAUAUCAGGAGGAACACCGAUGGCGAAGGCAGGUCUCUGGGCAUUAACUGACGCUGAGGAGCGAAAGCAUGGGGAGCGAACAGG
rnacentral:rRNA from 1 species